CAGGGAAGUCAGUGAUAAUCAUGAAUAUCAUCAGGCUGACUCUGGUGGUCGUGCUGGUUCCAGUGCUUGUCUGGACUCUGUGGACGAGGAUGAAGAAAACUCUGAGCUUGAAAUCAGAAGUGAAUGAAGCUGUGGAGAUGAUAGAGUCACACAACUGUCCUGAGUAUGAGAACGUUGCUGCUGCAGCACAGACAGAAGACACAGAGGAGCAGGAAGACCUGGUGUGAAGCAUCAGGUCAGAGCCACUGGGACAAACAGAACCAAGAUGGACGACUUCAGAGAACAUCCGUACAAGCGAGUUUUACAGAAACCAUAAUGUGUAGUUAUAAAUACAGGAAAUCUGUCCAAGCAACAAAAUAUCUGAGUGCAAGCGCAGAGUUUGAGCACAAGCAGAACAAAUCUAAGCACCAGCAGGAGCUGUGUGAGUGCAAGCUCAGGGUGUUGAGUAAAAACACAACAAAAUCUGAACGUGCAAGUCCAGCUCUCAAACUAAAAGACCACGCUUUUGAAUAAAGAGGAAACCACCGUCCAUUUCCUUUCUACUCAUGGUUUCCUGUUUUUCUUUUCUCCUCAGGUGCACUGUGAUUGGUUGAUGUAUGUCUGUAAGUAUGUGAGAGGAAACAGGAAGUAUCUCUCUUUCCAUCCCCGGUUGCAGCAGCAGCAGUUUGUACAGCAUGACCUUUAGAACAAGAGUAUAGUUGUGUUGUUUCUUUUCUUUUUUUUGUGAUGGGUCCAGUCGUCCAGUUUCCGCAGCUCUAUUUCUGUGAGCUUUAGUUCUGAUGUUGGUUUAGGUUGAAGGAAGAUUCUCAGAUCCUACGACCCUUUGUGGGUUGGUGUGUUGGGUUUUCCUUCUUUUGUCUAUUUUGCUGGCCUGUUGUUGAAGUUGUUUUCAUUUCUACAAUAAUUUUUUUUUUUGUUGCUGUUACCCUCUGAACUAUGUUGGACGUCUUGGUGAUGAGCAUUUGAGGCUGUGGUAACAUCUUGUGACUCAUCUCAUGUCUUAUACACGAUAUUAAUGUGGUUAUUACAUGGAUAAUGAGUUACGUAUUGUGAUUUUAUGAUUCUUUCUUAAAAAAAUGUUUUUGGUCUUUUGUUUUCACUCCUUCUCUAUUUGUUUGUUUGUUUUUCAGCAGAAUUACACCAGAAAACUAAACAGAUUUGUUUAUGAACUCAUCAAAUUUGGGCAAGAAUCCUGAUAAAGGGGCGGAGCCAGGAGCCUGUUUGUAUCACUUUUUUUAUAAUUGUGAGACUGAUGAAAACAGUCAGGAUUAGUUAGAGGACUGGUUUCUAUGAGUGAUUGAACUCUGGUGCAGCUUGAUUGAAUGGAGGGAGACUGUUGGGUUUGACUUUAGUGUUUUGUGGUAUUUCUCACAUCACGUGUUAAACACGUGAAGAAGAAGGAGUUAGGUGUGUUUUAAUCCACCAUGUUCACACGGCGGACAUUUUCCUCUGACGUCUCUGUCAUUAGAGGCGGUGGACUAGUGGCAGAAACUUGGACUAUGGGCAGAAAAGGUCUCUGGUUCGUCUCUGGUUCGACUCCACUGAGAAACAACAACAACAGCAAAGACGAACCUGGAUUGAUCUGUCCAAAAAUCCAAGAGGAUUCUCCCUACCCUGUCUAGUGCCCCUGAGCAAGGCACCUUACUCCCCCAACAUCUGCUCCCCGGGCGCCGUACAUGGUCGCUCACUGCUCUGUGUGUCCUGCACCAGAUGGGUCAAAAGCAGAGGUUACAUUUCCCUACCUGCUUGAGUGUGCCUGUGCAUGUGUUUGGGACAAAUAAAUGCAUCUUAGUCUUAAUCUGAAUUAAUCUUAAUGUGAAGUCUUGAAUGUUGUUACGAACAGAAUAAUGUUGUACUGCUGUGAUCCAGGUUUAUAAGUAAAACAAAAAAGAUAAUAUAUUAUUACUUAUUCUUCAUUAGGAUAAUUGAUUAAUUGUUGUUAAUUGAUGUUAAUUAUACUUUAACUUUUUCUAUACAACAUUAUUUAUAUUUAUAGUCUUGUUUAUUUCAUUUGUUGUUCACUCAUAACUUGCUCUUUUCUGACUUUGUGAUGUACAGUUUUGCAACAAAGCAGAUUUUCUUUAGGGAUCAUUAAAAGUGUGUUUUUAUUCUGUUCAUACAUUUUCAUUUGUUAUAAUUAGCUUUUGUUUUGAGACUCUUAAAAUAUUUUGAUGUCACUUACAGUGUUAAUGAAUGUUCAUUUUCCAGCUUAAUUUAAAAUCUUAAAUUUUUCUUUUUCAUGUCAAUCUUUAAUGCAUCUUAAUGAGACAUUGAACAGAUGAGAUUAAAAACAGACCAGUUUUACUCAAGUCUU